UACGUAGGUGGCAAGCGUUAUCCGGAUUUACUGGGUGUAAAGGGAGCGUAGACGGCGGUGCAAGUCUGGAGUGAAAGGCAGGGGCCCAACCCCUGGACUGCUCUGGAAACUGUAGUGCUGGAGUGCAGGAGAGGUAAGUGGAAUUCCUAGUGUAGCGGUGAAAUGCGUAGAUAUUAGGAGGAACACCAGUGGCGAAGGCGGCUUACUGGACUGUAACUGACGUUGAGGCUCGAAAGCGUGGGGAGCAAACAGG
rnacentral:rRNA from 1 species